GUCCUGGCAACUGGGUCUAGCUCAUCCGGAGGCAGCAGUGACAGCAGACCCAGAUGUAGUGUGACGAGAAACAGCGGAGUGGUUUAGGGAUGGGAACUCUCUGAAGACAGAUAACAAACUUGUCCACAUUAACAUUAUGACAGUAUGAUACAUUCCAAGAGAAAGUCAUACCACUUCCAAGAAUUAUUAAAAAACAACAGAAUAAAUUACAAGAUAAAGCAAAAUGGAAACAAAAAGAUAAUUUAUGUGUAGAUGAAAGGCAGUUUGUGCCAAAAAUAUAAAUAGCUACUGAAAGACUAUAACCUGUGUAAACAUGCUGUAAACCCGCUGAUACAAAGCUUGCAGAACAGUGCUGCAGAGUUAGGCUGGGGAAUCAAUUUGUUUCUUUCCCCUAUGAAAUUAAACUAAUUCAGUUCAUUAUCAACAGGGAUGAAGGUAAGGAAGGGUGUCUCACAGAAGGCAUUUUUGGAAUACUAUAUUCUUAAAAGCUUCAAACUUCUUUUUAGUUUGAGACAAGAUUUUUGGUAAUUAUCAGUUUAUGUGAGAACUUGUAUUACUUAUUUUUCACAUUAAACACCUAUUCUUCUGUUUUUAACUAGGUUUGGGUUUCCCAAUACCAGUGCAUGCAAUCAGGCAAUAAGUUUCCAUUGCGAUCAUGAUAAAGAAAAUCAGACACCCAAACAUUCUGAAAUGUUUCCACCAGAACUCUGCGGCUUCUCAGAAGUAGAGAAAUAAACACCAUUCGCAAAUUA